GCUAUUUUGGCAGAAAAAUGUGAUGAUUUUAGAAGUCAUUUUAAAUAUAAUUUAUUAUAUAGAUAGUA
rnacentral:tRNA from 1 species